UGGGGAAUACUGGACAAUGGGGGCAACCCUGAUCCAGCCAUGCCGCGUGAGUGAUGAAGGCCUUAGGGUUGUAAAGCUCUUUCACCCGGGACGAUAAUGACGGUACCGGGAGAAGAAGCCCCGGCUAACUUCGUGCCAGCAGCCGCGGUCAAUACGAAGGGGGCUAGCGUUGGUUCGGAAUCACUGGGCGUAAAGCGCACGUAGGCGGACCGUUAAGUCGGAGUGAAAUCCUGGGGCUCAACCCCAGAACUGCCUUCGAUACUGGCGGUCUCGAGUCCGGAAGAGGUGAGUGGAACUGCCAGUGUAGAGGUGAAAUUCGUAGAUAUUGGCAAGAACACCAGUGGCGAAGGCGGCUCACUGGUCCGGUACUGACGCUGA
rnacentral:rRNA from 1 species